CAUUGAUUGCUAUCGCCUUCUCCUCCCCAAUCCCACCCCCGCUCCUACGCACUCGCCCAUUCCGGCGGAACCGCUGCUGGAGUUUGACGCCCACCCACCACACUGCGAGACAUCCCCUGCACGGCGCCCGCCCAUAAUCCCCGCUUCGCCGGCAGCAACUUCUCCCAUGCCCUACCCCUUGAAUGCCAUCCCUGGUCCUGGUCCUGCCCUCUCCGCCCCUCACCACCGUAAUCGAUGCCAGGUGAGGAUCUACGCCGGACCCCUACCCCUUCAGGCUGCUGCUCACGAAGGCUGCGAUUCCAGGUGAGUACAAUCGCUCACUUCCAGGUGAGAUCCGACUCGGCAUAAGGACGGCGGCGGCCUCUCUUCCAGCCACUGGUUGGAGUUCCUCUGCUCCCUCCUCCCUGCACACAAGGUUAGUUAAAUCAAACCAAAACCAAAAUUCCAUUUCUUCCGUAUCCUUAAUCAAAUGAUAAAAAUUUUCGGGGGUUGGAUUUUCAGCUCAAUCUCCACUGCAUGUCCUCGGUUCCCAAUCUCACAUUAAUUAAUUUUCCCAUGUUUUACAUUAUGAAUUUACGAUCUAACCAUUUCGAGCCAAUUAACCAAUAGUUGUACUCGCAGCUUUCUUGUAGGAUCUAGAGGGCAGAAGCGAUGCAUUUUUAAGGCAGAAAAUAGACCCUUUUCCGUGGUGCAAGCCGUGGUCUAAUCCACACGAUUCUAGGCAAUGCUAGUUGUGUAUUGUCAAAGAAAUGAUUAUUUUCUGUCAUCCUCUCGUGAUACAAUGCAUAUAUGAGAUAAAAAUAUGGGUGUUUAGACAGUUUAACCUACAGGCAGAUACCAUUUAUUUUGGUGUUUAUUUUACCCUGCUAUUUUGGCUCAGACUUGAUCAUAUCACCUAAUAGCUAGUUGACUAUAUAACUUACUCCCGACAUGAACGAAACUUACCACAAAUUUUAGACUGCGCUGCACCUAUUAUUCGAGCAGACUGAAGAACUGUCACAAGGAAUGUCGCUGUUCAUGAAGACUAUUAUACUGUCUUCUCACCAUUUUUGCAUUUGUAUAAGAUUAUUCUUUUGAAAUCCAAUAAUUAUCCCUUCUGUAAAUGGAUGUUUACUCUGUGACUCUGUUUGUAUAUAUGAACCCAAUUUUUGACAAAUUAUUCCAUGUUUUGUAUCAUUACUCCUUAGGACUUCAAUUAUUAUUCCUUUGGUCUCCACUGCUUAUUCCAUGUGUAUAUGGUCAAUUACUCCCUAACUGUGUUUAUAUGUAGGUAUCACAUAUAUGCAAUAAAAAAUAUUGUAUUUCAACAAUUUCUUUCAACAACAAUAUCCGCAUAUCUAUUUUUUAUUUCUUUGAUAAGAGUAUCUAGUAUUUCGAACCUGUUGCCGUUGAUGCAUAUAUUUACGGUUCAGAAAAUGAAGCAUGUCUCUUGCAAAUCCGGCCCGCCAUGGAAGAAAAGCAAGUGAGGAUGCACCACUGCUAGUUUGGUCAUGGUGGAGCACAGAACAGAAGCCAGCUAGCUGGUGAUGGAUUCAUGGUGGAGCUCUCGUGCAAGAGAGCUUAUACGCCCUCCACUACCACUGUAUUAGUGGGGCAUCAUCUUUCUAGGAAAAAUUGGACAACUGCAUUAUGUUUGUGCGACCAGCUUGUACAUCGCAUAAAUUUUAUUGAAUCAAAUUACGUGUGAUCACUGAGCAGCUAGUGAUUUGUGAGAUCUGUGACUACAUAUAAUGGAUUAUUAUUGUUGAGUCAUCAUGAAAA